CUGGACUGUCAAGACGUUACACUUGGCAAACAGAGAAAAACCCUCAAUGUUUCUUAUUUGAUAUAUUGUCAACGAUCUCUUGACAGAAUCCUCGGCUCUAUCACGCUAUCGAGAAAACUUCACAUCAGCAAAGUAAUCUGCUUAAGAUGACAUCAAGGUUUAUCUUGCCGAUGGUGAUCAGAGAUCAGCAACAUCAUGCCCAGGUCGUUUAUUAUGGCUGAAACUCAGUGGUUGACGGCUGAGUAGUUACCCAACGCUGAAGUGUUGUAGUCACUUUCAGAAAAUGGUCAAGUGAACUACGACCAGGUUCAAGUCAAGCAUGUGCUGUUUUGCCUCAUCGAGUCUCGACUUCAUUAGCUAACAAGCAAGGAGAUCAGGGUAGAUGUGGCAUUUACAGGCAAACUCUACUCUGCUAGUGGCUAUCCUGUGUCACAGUUCCCACUGGACU